rnacentral:rRNA from 1 species
UACGGAAGGCAGCAGGGGGAAUAUUGCACAAUGGGCGCAAGCCUGAUGCAGCCAUGCCGCGUGUAUGAAGAAGGCCUUCGGGUUGUAAAGUACUUUCAGUCGUGAGGAAGGUGUUAAGGUUAAUAACCUUAGCAAUUGACGUUAGCGACAGAAGAAGCACCGGCUAACUCCGUGCCAGCAGCCGCGGUAAUACGGAGGGUGCGAGCGUUAAUCGGAAUUACUGGGCGUAAAGGGCACGCAGGCGGUUAAUUAAGUUGGAUGUGAAAUCCCCGGGCUUAACCUGGGAAUGGCAUUCAAGACUGGUUAGCUAGAGUCUUGUAGAGGGGGUAGAAUUCCAUGUGUAGCGGUGAAAUGCGUAGAGAUGUGGAGGAAUACCGGUGGCGAAGGCGGCCCCUGGGACAAAGACUGACGCUCAUGUGCGAAAGCGUGGGGAGCAAACAGGGAUUAGAUACC